GAUGAACGCUGGCGGCGUGCCUAAUACAUGCAAGUCGAACGGUCCGCAAGGAUAGUGGCGAACGGGUGAGUAACGCGUUGGUGACCUGCCCUAAAGUGGGGGAUAACGGAUCGAAAGGUCCGCUAAUACCGCAUAAGUUCUGUCCAGUUAGAGAAGACAGAGGAAAGCCGAAAGGCGCUAUAGGAGGGACCUGCGUCCCAUCAGCUAGUUGGUAGGGUAGUGGCCUACCAAGGCGAUGACGGGUAGGGGACCUGAGAGGGUGACCCCCCACAAUGGAACUGAAACACGGUCCAUACACCUACGGGUGGCUG
rnacentral:rRNA from 1 species